GGAUUAGGCAUGCAAGUCGAACGAGAAAGGUUUCGCAAGAGACCGAGUAAAGUGGCGGAAGGGCGAGUAAUGCAUAGAUAACCUACCCUCGAGAUGGGAAUAACUAUUCGAAAGGAUAGCUAAUACCCAAUGAGACCACGGAUUUUAUGAUCUGUGCUUAAAGAUAGGGACCCGCAAGGGCCUUUCGCUCGAGGAGGGGUUUAUGUCCUAUCAGCUUGUUGGUGAGGUAACGGCCCACCAAGGCUUUGACGGGUAGCCGACCUGAGAGGGUGACCGGCCGCACUGGGACUGAGACACUGCCCAGACUCCUACGGGAGGCUGCAGUCGAGGAUCUUCCGCAAUGCGCGAAAGCGUGACGGAGCGACGCCGCGUGGGUGAUGAAGGCCUUCGGGUUGUAAAGCCCUGUCGCCUGGGAAGAAUGGCGGGAGGUGAAUAGCCAUCUCGUCUGACGCUACCAGGAAAGGAAGCACCGGCUAAAUACGUGCCAGCAGCCGCGGUAAUACGUAUGGUGCGAACGUUGUUCGGAAUCACUGGGCAUAAAGAGCACGUAGGCGGUCGAGCAAGUCCAUUGUGAAAUCCCCCGGCCUAACCGAGGAACUGCAAUGGAUACUACUUGGCUAGAGUGUAGGAGGGGAGAGUGGAAUUCCUGGUGGAGCGGUGAAAUGCGUAGAUAUCAGGAGGAACGCCGGCGGCGAAAGCGACUCUCUGGUCUACAACUGACGCUGAGGUGCGAAAGCUAGGGGAGCAAACGGGAUUAGAUACCCCGGUAGUCCUAGCCCUAAGCGAUGGGCACUAAGUAGAGGGGUUUU
rnacentral:rRNA from 1 species